rnacentral:rRNA from 1 species
AACGAACGCUGGCGGCAGGCCUAACACAUGCAAGUCGAGCGCGUGUAGCAAUACACGAGCGGCGCACGGGUGAGUAGCGCGUGGGAAUCUGCCCUGUGGUGGGGGACAACCUCGGGAAACUGAGGCUAAUACCGCAUACGUCCUUCGGGAGAAAGACUUCGGUCGCCAUAGGAGGAGCCCGCGUCCGAUUAGCUAGUUGGUGAGGUAACGGCUCACCAAGGCGACGAUCGGUAGCUGGUCUGAGAGGACGGCCAGCCACACUGGGACUGAGACACGGCCCAGACUCCUACGGGAGGCAGCAGUGGGGAGUAUUGGACAAUGGGGGCAACCCUGAUCCAGCCAUGCCGCGUGAGUGAUGAAGGCCUUCGGGUUGUAAAGCUCUUUUGGCGGGGAAGAUGAUGACGGUACCCGCAGAAUAAGCCCCGGCUAACUUCGUGCCAGCAGCCGCAGUAAAAC